AUGGCGCGGCUCCUCGUACUCGCAGCCACCACCGUGCUGCUGCUCCUCGCCGCCGGCGCGACCGCCCAGCAGCAGGGCUGCGAGAACGCGACGUUCCCGGCGGGCCGGUCGUUCGCGCGGUGCAACACCCUGCCCGUGCUCGGCGCCAGCCUGUACUGGACGUACCACGCCGCGAACGGCACUGCCGAGCUCGCGUUCCGCGCGCAGUCCGACGCCGCCGGCUGGGUCGCCUGGGGCAUCAACCCCAGCGGCGCCGGCAUGGCCAGGAGCAACGUCUUCGUCGCCUCGCAGGGCGGCAGCGGCGCCGUGUCCGUGCUCACCACCAUCCUGCGCACCACGUCCCCCGCCCUGGACAACACCACCCUCUCGUUCGCCGUGCCGGUGCCGCCCACCGCCGAGUACGCGGCCGGCGCGUACACGAUCUACGUGACGGUGGCGCUGCCGGGGAACUCCACACAGCAGAACACGGUGUGGCAGGCCGGCCCGCUCAGCGGCGGGGCCAUAAUGGCGCACCGGAUGUCCGGCCCGAACCUGCAGAGCGUCAAGAGGCAGGACUUCCUGUCCGGCUAG
rnacentral:rRNA from 1 species